ensembl:lncRNA
AGGAGUCACAGUACCACUAAUCAGGAAGUAUAGAAGGAGUCACAGUACCACUAAUCCACUAAUCAGGAGGUCUAGAAGGAGUCAUAGUACCACUAAUCAGGAGGUCUAGGAGGAGUCAUAGUACCACUAAUCAGGAAGUAUAGAAGGAGUCACAGUACCACUAAUCAGGAGGUAUAGAAGGAGUCAUAGUACCACUAAUCAGGAAGUAUAGAAGGAGUCACAGUACCACUAAUCCACUAAUCAGGAGGUCUAGGAGGAGUCAUAGUACCACUAAUCAGGAAGUAUAGAAGAGUCACAGUACCACUAAUCAGGAGGUAUAGAAGGAGUCAUAGUACC